rnacentral:rRNA from 1 species
UGGGGGAUAUUGCACAAUGGGCGAAAGCCUGAUGCAGCGACGCCGCGUGGGGGAUGAAGGCUUUCGGGUUGUAAACCUCUUUCGCUAUCGAACAAGGCCCGCUUAGGGUGGGUUGAGGGUAGGUGGAGAAGAAGCGCCGGCUAACUACGUGCCAGCAGCCGCGGUAAUACGUAGGGCGCGAGCGUUGUCCGGAAUUAUUGGGCGUAAAGGGCUUGUAGGCGGCUUGUUGCGCCUGCUGUGAAAACGCGGGGCUUAACUUCGCGCGUGCAGUGGAUACGGGCAGGCUUGAGUGUGGUAAGGGUGACUGGAAUUCCAGGUGUAGCGGUGGAAUGCGCAGAUAUCUGGAGGAACACCGAUGGCGAAGGCAGGUCACUGGGCCAUUACUGACGCUGAGGAGCGAAAGCAUGGGUAGCGAACAGG